CGGCUAUUCCUGGUUGAUUUUGAUUGAGAGGAAACAUCACUAUCACUCAUGUCCACACUACAACUUUCAUCAGAGUUGGUUUUAUGAAAGCUUGGAGAUUUCUGGUGACGGCGUGCGGAAUUAGUCAUCUGUGAAUUUUAUAAUUUGAAAUAAAGAAUCAGCUAAGGUAGAAUUAAUAAAUUGGUAAAGAGAAGAUUCAGUUAACAGUAACUUGAACAUUUCAGUACGGAUGUAGCAGUUUGGGUCGUUGAUUAGUUUACUAUGUUAGUUUACUAUGCAGAAUCCUUUCUGCCAGAUCUUGUUAGUCACUAGGUUAGUUUACUAUGCUGAAUACAAUUAUAGUUUUUACAACAUUUUUAAGUACCAUGUGAAAUGCAGUGGUACUGACAUUUGAUUAGUACAAUCUAAACACUAUAUCUAACAUUUCAAUAAGAAUUAUGUGCCAUCUUAUUUCAAUAACCAUUGACACUCUGAACUUCAAAAUUGUGUUUCAAUGAAAACAGAAAUUUUGUAGAAUAGGAAUUUCACUAGCACGAUCAGAUUCAUAUUAAGGGUAAUAAAUAACAUAUUUCAAUCACAGUUUCUGUACCAAGAAACUAUUUCAGUUCGAACAUCUCAGUACUAAUGAGCUCCACCAUUUUCGAAUAUACACAUGGGGAUCUAGGGUUAGAGAAGCAAAGCAUUUAUAAAAUCCCGAAUGUAGGUUUGGACCAGUCGGAUUUCUACAUAUCUUUCCCAAGUUAACUAAAUCUAGAAACUCCAAACGAAGAUGAGUAGCCAAAGUAAUGAGUAAAUGAAGAUGGAUAGCUAACCUUGAUGGACUAAUGAGGGCAGACGAACAGGGCGGCGGAAGGCAGCCAGUCGACGGGGAGGAAAUGAGCCCGGUGAGCCGCGAAGAAAGCGGCCCGGCCGCGGAGCC
rnacentral:lncRNA from 1 species